AGAGUUUGAUCCUGGCUCAGAACGAACGCUGGCGGCGUGCUUAACACAUGCAAGUCGAGUGCGCGCCUGUAGCAAUACAGGUGGCGCACGGCGCACGGGUGCGUAACACGUGGGUAACCUGCCCUUUAGUGGGGAAUAACCUCGCGAAAGCGAGGCUAAUUCCGCAUAAGAUCCGCAAGGAUGAAAGCCGAAAGGCGCUGAUGGAGGGGCCCGCGCACGAUUAGCUAGUUGGUGAGGUAAUGGCUCACCAAGGCUAUGAUCGUUAGCUGGUCUGAGAGGAUGGCCAGCCACACUGGAACUGAGACACGGUCCAGACUCCUACGGGAGGCAGCAGUGGGGAAUCUUGCACAAUGGGCGAAAGCCUGAUGCAGCGACGCCGCGUGGGGGAUGAAGCUUCUCGGAGUGUAAACCCCUUUCGACCCGGACGAAUACCUCGCAAGAGGGGUGACGGUACGGGUAUAAGAAGCCCCGGCUAACUACGUGCCAGCAGCCGCGGUAAGACGUAGGGGGCCAGCGUUGUUCGGAAUUACUGGGUGUAAAGGGUUCGUAGGCGGUGUGGCAAGUCGGGAGUGAAAUUUCUGGGCUCAACUCAGAGACUGCUUCCGAAACUGCUGUGCUGGAGUGUGGGAGAGGCGCGUGGAAUUGCAGGUGUAGCGGUGAAAUGCGUAGAUAUCUGCAGGAACACCCGUGGCGAAAGCGGCGCGCUGGACCACUACUGACGCUGAGGAACGAAAGCUAGGGGAGCAAACAGGAUUAGAUACCCUAGUAGUCC
rnacentral:rRNA from 1 species